UCCUACGGGAGGCAGCAGUGGGGAAUAUUGCACAAUGGGCGAAAGCCUGAUGCAGCGACGCCGCGUGAGGGACGAAGGCCUUUGGGUUGUAAACCUCUUUCAGCAGGGAAGAAGCGAAAGUGACGGUACCUGCAGAAGAAGCGCCGGCUAACUACGUGCCAGCAGCCGCGGUAAUACGUAGGGCGCAAGCGUUAUCCGGAAUUAUUGGGCGUAAAGAGCUCGUAGGCGGUUUGUCGCGUCUGCUGUGAAAGCCCGGGGCUCAACCCCGGGUCUGCAGUGGGUACGGGCAGACUAGAGUGCAGUAGGGGAGACUGGAAUUCCUGGUGUAGCGGUGAAAUGCGCAGAUAUCAGGAGGAACACCGAUGGCGAAGGCAGGUCUCUGGGCUGUAACUGACGCUGAGGAGCGAAAGCAUGGGGAGCGAACAGGAUUAGAUACCCUGGUAGUCCAUGCCGUAAACGUUGGGCACUAGGUGUGGGGGACAUUCCACGUUUUCCGCGCCGUAGCUAACGCAUUAAGUGCCCCGCCUGGGGAGUACGGCCGCAAGGCUAAAACUCAAAGGAAUUGACGGGGGCCCGCACAAGCGGCGGAGCAUGCGGAUUAAUUCGAUGCAACGCGAAGAACCUUACCAAGGCUUGACAUGAACCGGAAAGGCCUGGAAACAGGUCCCCCACUUGUGGCCGGUUUACAGGUGGUGCAUGGUUGUCGUCAGCUCGUGUCGUGAGAUGUUGGGUUAAGUCCCGCAACGAGCGCAACCCUCGUUCUAUGUUGCCAGCGCGUUAUGGCGGGGACUCAUAGGAGACUGCCGGGGUCAACUCGGAGAAAGGUGGGGACGACGUCAAAUCAUCAUGCCCCUUAUGUCUUGGGCUUCAUGCAUGCUACAAUGGCCGGUACAAAGGGUUGCGAUACUGUGAGGUGGAGCUAAUCCCAAAAAGCCGGUCUCAGUUCGGAUUGAGGUCUGCAACUCGACCUCAUGAAGUUGGAGUCGCUAGUAAUCGCAGAUCAGCAACGCUGCGGUGAAUACGUUCCCGGGCCUUGUACACACCGC
rnacentral:rRNA from 1 species